rnacentral:rRNA from 1 species
GUGCCAGCAGCCGCGGUAAUACGGAGGGUGCAAGCGUUAAUCGGAAUUACUGGGCGUAAAGCGCACGCAGGCGGUUUGUUAAGUCAGAUGUGAAAUCCCCGGGCUCAACCUGGGAACUGCAUUUGUGACUGUAUAGCUAGAGUACGGCAGAGGGGGAUGGAAUUCCGCGUGUAGCAGUGAAAUGCGUAGAUAUGCGGAGGAACACCGAUGGCGAAGGCAAUCCCCUG